rnacentral:rRNA from 1 species
AUGAGGAACUUGCAUACACUCGCGAAGAAGAAGCAUGUCAUUGUCAUCGAGGGUGUAAAAUUCCUCAAAGAUCAUCUUUGUGGGGCUUGUGAGGCUGGAAAGAUCACCAGAUCCAAGCAUCCCUCGAAGACUAUCAUGACCACUUCUCGUCCCUUUGAAUUACUUCAUAUGGAUCUCUUUGGCCCUACUCAUUAUGCCACAUUCGCUAGCUCUGCAUCUUUAUAUGGCUUUGUCAUAGUUGAUGACUAUUCUCGUUACACAUGGGUGCAUAUCAUCACUUACAAAAAUGAAGUGCAGGAAGUCUUCAGACGAUUUUCCUCAAGGGCUUCCACUAACUUCGGUGUGAAGAUCAAGCAUAUCAGGAGUGAUAAUGGAACUGAGUUCAAGAACACUGGACUUUAUGAAUAUAUUGAUAUACUUGGUAUUACUCACAAGUUAUCUGCUCCUUAUACUCCUCAGCAAAAUGGCAUCGUGGAGCGCAAGAACCGAACUCUUGUUGAGAUGGCUCGCAGUAUGCUUGAUGAAUACAAGACGCCUCGGUGUUUCUGGCCUGAAGCCAUCAAUACUGCGUGCCACAUCAUCAACAGGGUAUAUCUUCACAAAUUCUUCAAAAAGACCUCAUAUGAACUCCUCACUGACAAGAAACCCAAUGUAAGUUAUUUCAAAGUCUUCGGUGCUAAAUGCUAG